GACGAACGCUGGCGGCGUGCUUAACACAUGCAAGUCGAACGGAAAGGCACUGCUUGCAGGGUGCUCGAGUGGCGAACGGGUGAGUAACACGUGGGUGAACUGCCCCUUACUUUGGGAUAAGCCUGGGAAACUGGGUCUAAUACUGGAUAGGACAUUGCUGUAGGUGGUGUGGUGGAAAGAUUAGUGGCGGUAAGGGUUGAGAUCGCGGCCUGUAAGGUUGUUGGUGGGGUAAUGGCAUAGGAAGGCGUCGACGGGUGUCCGGCCAGAGUGGGUGGACGGCAACAUUGGGACUGCGACACGGCGCAGACGCCGACGGGAGGCAGCAGUGGGGAAUAUUGCACAAUAGGCGCAAGCCGGAUGCGGCGACGCCGCGUGGGGGAUGACGGCCUUCGGGUUGUAAACUCCUUUCAGCCAUGACGAAGCCCUUGUGGUGACGGUAGUGGUAGAAGAAGCACCGGCUAACUACGUG
rnacentral:rRNA from 1 species